GACGUAGGGCGCGAGCGUUGUCCGGAAUUAUUGGGCGUAAAGGGCUCGUAGGCGGUUUGUCGCGUCGGGAGUGAAAACACCGGGCUUAACUCGGUGCUUGCUUUCGAUACGGGCAGACUAGAGGCAUGCAGGGGAGAACGGAAUUCCUGGUGUAGCGGUGAAAUGACGCAGAUAUCAGGAGGAACACCGAUGGCGAAGGCAGGUCUCUGGGCAUUAACUGACGCUGAGGAGCGAAAGUGUGGGGAGCGAACAGG
rnacentral:rRNA from 1 species